UCCCUGAAGGACUAGUGGUUAGGCCUCGGCGCUCUUGCUGCCACGGCCCAGGUUCGAUUCCUGGCCAGGGAA